CGCUUUCUUGUGCUGAUUAAUGACUUGUUGGCAUCAGGUAUUUGUAGGGGAAGCCUUUAGAGAAGCUAAAUCAACCCAGCCAGCUUGAGCACAGAGUCUAACUUACUUAACAAAACACAGAGGAGACAAAUUGCUAAGGCUCAUCAUGCGAGAUGUUCCUGAUCUGUUCACUGAUGAAGAUGUGGAGGGCAAAGUUGCAGGAGUCAGAAGAGUCAGAAAAGAAGUCCCUGACCUGGGCGUGAUGAACACCACUUUCUAGCUGAUGGAGGUUCUUCUUUGGUUGAAUGCAGUAGUUGUUAAAGAGUUGCAGUGCAUAUUGAAAUGGCUGGAAGUGGCUUGAAUAGAUUUAGAAACCCAACAGCUGGUUUGGUGUCACAGGGACUACGUGAAUGUGUGCUUCAUUUCUGUACAGCUGCUUUCUUACUUAGAGUUAUCAAAGUGAGGAAGCUGCUAGUCACGUGGAGAGAGGGGGCGGAAGUGGUGAGUAUGCAGUGUAUGUACAGAGGAAAGUGAGUAAAACCUGUUUGCCCAAGGUACCAUUCUAGCUGACUAAGUUUCGUAGCUGCCAAAUUGG
ensembl:lncRNA